AGCAACUCCUGGGAGAAGCAGCUUCUCUCCUCGAUUUUGCUUGAAACCAAAACCUACGAAGAUGAUAUAAGAUUAACCGAUCUAAUCAUGGCAAUACGGUGUCUGCAUCUCUUCUUCUUCCUCUACUCUGUUAUAAUCAAACACACAAAAGGAGUUUUCAACUUUGGAUCAAAUAGGGAAGGACAAAUAGAACAACCUUGAGGAAUCAAUUAAGGUAAGUACAUACCAAGAUGCUACCGUGAAUCAGGAACUAAAUAAAUCCUUUUAAUGAUUUUAUUUUUAACCCAUUUUAAUAAUUUUGUGAUUUUGUUUGCGUAAGGCACAAACCUAAUUUAGGAGUACUAUGCUGGUGUUUCUAGAUUAAUUAAUACGUUUCUUCUUUUCUUUUGAACUGUAAUAAAUUUUAGGAGCACUGUUGGUGUUUCCGGAUUAAUAUGUUUCUUCUUUGCAUUGUAAUGAAUGAUUACAGCUUAAAAGUUGGUGAUUCAAUUCAAUUAGACAUUUUCCACAAUUGAUAAAUUCAUCAUGAUUGCAGUUGUACAGCUAGAAGAGAAUUUUCAUUCCACAUGAUUUAAAUUAAAGCAUUACUUAGCAUUUUAAUCCAUUGUGAUAAAGAUGUAAGCAUGUGCCUGAAUUUUGUUUUCACGGAGUUCGGUUUGGAAUUUGGGAUUCUUAAAUUCAUCAAAGCUACGUACUUGAGUGUUGUCGCACUGAUGGAUAUGCAGGUUGGGCAGUAUUUGAAGAGUGGACUUGAUAUAUGUAUGAGGUAGUACGGAGACACUUUGUUCUUGUAAUAUGGAUUUGACGACAUGGUUAUUCAUGGCAGCGGCUUGAGUGAUCCUUGAAGACAUGAAUGUGUCAUAGCGUAUCUGAAAGAAGAUGUCAUAAUGGACUCUUACCAAAGUGAAACUAGGCCUACCUUUGCAUUUUUCAUAAACUUUCGCAGCAAUUACGAAAACUUGAAGACAAACAAAAUGACUUAUGGCCUGCAUAUAUACUUAAAAGUUGUUUUACAUUUCUCUGGCUUAUGUUAUUCUAAUAAUAUCAUUAAUAACACUUAUUUCAACUCCUGAUAUAACUCUUUGCCAAACUUGCUUUUCAGCUUUUUAACUUUUAAG